rnacentral:rRNA from 1 species
GGGGGAAGUGGCGAAAGGGGCAGUAAGGCGUGGGUAACCUACCCCGGGGAUCGGGAUAGCUAUCCUAACGGAUAGGUAAUACCGGGCGAUGUGACGGAGGCGCAUGUUUCUGUCAUGAGAUGAGUUUCGCCUCGGGAGGGGCUCACGUGGUAUUAGCUUGUUGGUGGGGUAACGGCCUACCAAGGCAAAGAUGCCUAGCGGGUGUGAGAGCACGACCCGCGCCACUGGCACUGAGACACUGGCCAGACUCCUACGGGAGGCUGCAGUCGAGGAUCUUCGGCAAUGGGCGCAAGCCUGACCGAGCGACGCCGCGUGUGCGAUGAAGGCCUUCGGGUUGUAAAGCACUGUCGAGGGGGAGGAAGCCCGCAAGGGUUGACCUAUCCCUGGAGGAAGCACGGGCUAAGUUCGUGCCAGCAGCCGCGGUAAGACGAACCGUGCAAACGUUGUUCGGAUUCACUGGGCUUAAAGGGCGCGUAGGCGGACCACCAAGUCAGGGGUGAAAUCUUUCGGCUUAACCGGAAAAUAGCUUUUGAUACUGGUGGUCUCGAGGGAGGUAGGGGCAUGUGGAACUUCCGGUGGAGCGGUGAAAUGCGUAGAUAUCGGAAGGAACGCCGGUGGCGA